CUUACCAGGUCAAGACAUGGGCGUGAUUGACAGGCUAAUGACUUUUCUCGAUUCCAUGGAUGGUGGUGCAUGGUCGCACUUAGUUGGUGCAGUGAUUUGUCAGGUUUAUUCCGGUAACGAACGAGACCUCGGCCUUGUAAAUAGCUAUGCUGCUUACAGGGACAUUGGCGGCUACGCCAAGGAAGCUCGAGGCAAUUGCAGAUCUGGAAUGCCCUUAGAUGUCCUGGGUCGCACGCGUGCUACAAUGACGCCACGAACGAGCUUGCGUGAUGAAAGUUACGCAUAAUCAGCAGUCGGCGUCUUAAGGGAUAGUCUCUUGUAACUGUGGGACUCCAACUAGGAAUGUCUCGUAAGCACAAGUCAACAUCUUGUGUUGAUUACGUCCCUGCUCUUUGUACACACCGCCCGUCGCUCCUACCGAUCGAGUGUUUAGGUGAAUUUGAUGGACGUAAGGAAGUCAAAUAAACCUGAGCACUAGAGGAAGGAGAAGUCGAAUCCGU
rnacentral:rRNA from 1 species